UCCGGUUGAUUUGCCGGACCCUACUGCUAUUGGGGUGGGACUAAGACAUGCGAGUUGAGCGUCUCUAAGCUAUGGUAGAGACGCAGCGUACGGCUCAGUAACACGUGGCUAACCUACCCUUAGGACGGAGACAACCCCGGGAAACUGGGGCUAAUACCCGAUAGAUGAGGAGGCCUGGAAUGGUUCGUAGUCGAAAAGGCGUUGAAACCAUGCUUUUCGACGUCGCCUAAGGAUGGGGCCGCGCCCGAUCAGGUUGUUGGUGGGGUAACGGCUCACCAAGCCUAUAACCGGUACGGGCCGUGAGAGCGGGAGCCCGGAGAUGGGCACUGAGACAAGGGCCCAGGCCCUACGGGGCGCAGCAGUUGCGAAAACUCCACAAUGCACGAAAGUGCGAUGGGGCUACCCCGAGUGCCGUCCGCUGAGGACGGCUUUUCCAUGGUGUAAGGAGCCGUGGGAAUAAGGAGAGGGCAAGACUGGUGUCAGCCGCCGCGGUAAUACCAGCUCUCCGAGUGGUGAGGACGAUUAUUGGGCUUAAAGCGUUCGUAGCCGGCUUAACAAGUCUUCCGUUAAAUCCAACGAUCUAAUCGUUGGGCCGCGGAAGAUACUGUUGGGCUAGGAGGCGGGAGAAGCCGACGGUAUUCUCGGGGUAGGGGUGAAAUCCUGUAAUCCCGGGAGGACCACCAGUGGCGAAGGCGGUCGGCUAGAACGCGCUCGACGGUGAGGGACGAAAGCUGGGGGAGCGAACCGGAUUAGAAACCCGGAUAGUCCCAGCUGUAAACGAUGCGGGCUAGGUGUUGGGGUGGCCACGAGCCACCUCAGUGCCGCAUGGAAGCAAUUAAGCCCGCCGCCUGGGGAGUACGGCCGCAAGGCUGAAACUUAAAGGAAUUGGCGGGGGAGCACCACAAGGCGUGAAGCUUACGGUUUAAUUGGAUUCAACGCCGGG
rnacentral:rRNA from 1 species